rnacentral:lncRNA from 1 species
GUUAAUUUGCUCUGAUAAGGCUGGUGCAAUUCACUGAAAUGAGCUACGUUCUUGUUUUCUUUUUUAAAGAUGUUUAUAAUUUGCUCCCUCUCAAAAAGGGGAGGGGUUCUUUGUUAGGUGGAAAGAAGACAAGAACAUGCUGCUUGGUGUCAGUUAUUGUGCGCUAUUGAUGGAUGGGAUCGGCAGGGGACAAAAAUGGCAUAAGAGAGGUACAGUGGGAGGCAGGAGAAAGACCAAUAUCUGCCACCCUUCUUUCUCUCUUAUGCGUUUUUGUCUCUCGCCGGUCACACCCGUGUUAAUUUGCCCUGAUAAGGCCAUGGUAUAUAUAUAUGAUUCUUUGACCCAAUUCACAUGACAAUCUUCUUCUCUAGACUGCAUCGUCUUGUUCAUGAGGUAUGUUCUUGUCUUCUUUUUGAAAGAUGUUUAUAAUUUGAUCUCUAUCAAACAGGGCAGACAUGCUUUGCUAGGUGGAAAAACUUGCAGAAACAAUAUGGAACGGGGGGUUUGUUCUGGUGGGACAAGAAGGAAGCCUGUGGGAUUGGAGAUGAACAGUAAGUCCAGGGAAGAUGAGGUCGUUGCACAGCUUAGACGAGAAAGAAGCAAUUAGUUUUUUUCUUAUUAAUUUCUUUUCUUUUUUUUCUUAGACCAGUAUUUCUUACGAACUAUCUUAUUUAUACGAUCGAGUAUAAUAAAAGGGAGGGUUUUGGAGAAACCUUGCUGCAAAGGUUUAAUUAUUUUCCUCAUCAUUUUCUCACCCAUUUAUCAUUAUUGAGGCCGCAUGCAGCAACUUUUUAGUGGC